rnacentral:rRNA from 1 species
UACGAAGGGUGCAAGCGUUACUCGGAAUUACUGGGCGUAAAGCGUGCGUAGUCGGUUAUCUAAGUCAGGUGUGAAAUCCCCGGGCUCAACCUGGGAAUUGCAUUUGAUACUGGAUAGCUAGAGUUCGGCAGAGGGAAGUGGAAUUUCUGGUGUAGCGGUGAAAUGCGUAGAUAUCAGAAGGAACAUCAGUGGCGAAAGCGACUUCCUGGACCAGAACUGACGAUCAGGCACGAAAGCGUGGGGAGCAAACAGG